GACAGAGGGUGCAACCGUUGUUCGGAAUUACUGGGCGUAAAGCGCGUGUAGGCAGCUUGGCAAGUCGGGUGUGAAAGCCCUGGGCUCAACCUAGGAAGUGCACUCGAAACUGCUUCGCUUGAGUAUCGGAGAGGAAAGCGGAAUUCUCGGUGUAGAGGUGAAAUUCGUAGAUAUCGAGAGGAACACCAGUGGCGAAGGCGGCUUUCUGGACGAUCACUGACGCUGAGACGCGAAAGCGUGGGGAGCAAACAGG
rnacentral:rRNA from 1 species